rnacentral:rRNA from 1 species
AGCUGCGUGAAAUAAUGUGAAUUGCAGGACACAUUGAACAUCGACAUUUUGAACGCAUAUUGCGGCCAAGGGUCCGUCCUUUGGCCACGCCCGUCUGAGGGUCGGCAAAGUUCUAACCAUCGCCGGAGGCUCCUUAUCUGGCGCGUUGAGCUCUCGCAGCGGUCUCGCUCCGUGGCUCCAAGUGAAGACCCGGUCCGCGGUGAGCCUCUCGACCACCGCGGUAGCCGACCAUCCUUUCAGGCCGCGCCGCAGCGUUUCAAUCGUCCUCUAGCGGCGGGCGAAGGACAUGGCUCGGAUUUUCCACUGACAUGCCUUCGACCGUCCGACCGAACGCUGAACUUUUGGCGCGGCCGUCUCAUUUCCGACCUCAGAUCGGACGAGAUUACCCGCUGAAUUUA